rnacentral:rRNA from 1 species
UAUGUAGGGUGCAAGCGUUGUCCGGAAUUAUUGGGCGGAAAGAGCUCGUAGGCGGUUUGUCGCGUCUGCUGUGAAAGUUCGGGGCUCAACCCCGGAACUGCAGUGGGUACGGGCAGACUAGAGUGCGGUAGAGGAGACUGGAAUUCCUGGUGUAGCGGUGGAAUGCGCAUAUAUCAGGAGGAACACCAGUGGCGAAGGCGGGUCUCUGGGCCGCAACUGACGCUGAGGAGCGAAAGCGUGGGGAGCGAACAGG